GACGAACGCUGGCGGCGUGCUUAACACAUGCAAGUCGAACGGAAAGGCCCUGCUUUUGUGGGGUGCUCGAGUGGCGAACGGGUGAGUAACACGUGAGUAACCUGCCCUUGACUUUGGGAUAACUUCAGGAAACUGGGGCUAAUACCGGAUAGGAGCUCCUGCUGCAUGAUGGGGGUUGGAAAGUUUCGGCGGUUGGGGAUGGACUCGCGGCUUAUCAGCUUGUUGGUGGGGUAGUGGCUUACCAAGGCUUUGACGGGUAGCCGGCCUGAGAGGGUGACCGGCCACAUUGGGACUGAGAUACGGCCCAGACUCCUACGGGAGGCAGCAGUGGGGAAUAUUGCACAAUGGGCGGAAGCCUGAUGCAGCAACGCCGCGUGCGGGAUGACGGCCCUCGGGUUGUAAACCGCUUUCGCCUGUGACGAAGCGUGAGUGACGGUAAUGGGUAAAGAAGCACCGGCUAACUACGUG
rnacentral:rRNA from 1 species